rnacentral:rRNA from 1 species
AUUGAACGCUGGCGGCAUGCCUUACACAUGCAAGUCGAAUGGCAGCGGGCCUUCGGGUGCCGGCGGGUGGCGAACGGGUGAGUAAUGCAUCGGAACGUGCCAUUGAGUGGGGGAUAACGUAGCGAAAGUUGCGCUAAUACCGCAUAUUCUGUGAGCAGGAAAGCAGGGGACCGCAAGGCCUUGCGCUCUUUGAGCGGCCGAUGUCAGAUUAGCUAGUUGGUGAGGUAAAGGCUUACCAAGGCGACGAUCUGUAGCGGGUCUGAGAGGAUGAUCCGCCACACUGGAACUGAGACACGGUCCAGACUCCUACGGGAGGCAGCAGUGGGAAUUUUACGCAAUGGGCGAAAGCCUGACGUAGCGACACCGCGUGAGCGAAGAAGCCCCUUGGGGUGUAAAGCUCUGUCAGCUGGAACGAAAAAAUGACGGUACCAGCAGAGGAAGCAUCGGCUAACUACGUGCCAGCAGCCGC